AAGCGUUUAUGACCAGACUUGGGCUUGGUUAAUCAUCUGGGGUUCUCCCCAGUGCACUUUUCCAGUCCAGGCCAGCAUCAGUUUUCCCCGGGGGAUAAAGGCGGCGGGAAUGUGGCUCGCUUCGGUGAGCGUUAUAUCCC
rnacentral:rRNA from 1 species